CCAAUAGCGUAUAUUAAAGUUGUUGCAGUUAAAAAGCUCGUAGUUGAAUUUCGGGGUCAGUAGGUCGGUCGUGCCACUGGUAUGAACUGGUUUUACUGAUUCCUCCCUCUUGAAGAACUAUAAUGUCAUUAAUUUGGUGUUGUAGGGAAUCAGGACUGUUACUUUGAAAAAAUUAGAGUGUUUAAAGCAGGCUUUAGCUUGAAUACAUUA
rnacentral:rRNA from 1 species